GACGAACCGUCCAAACGUUAUUCGGAAUCACUGGGCUUACAGAGUUCGUAGGCGGUCUGGAAAGUUGGGUGUGAAAUCCCUCGGCCUAACCGAGGAACUGCGCUUGAAACUACCAGACUCGAGGGGGAUAGAGGAAAGCGGAACUGAUGGUGGAGCGGUGAAAUGCGUUGAUAUCAUCAGGAACACCGGUGGCAAAGGCGGCUUUCUGGGUCUUACCUGACGCUGAGGAACGAAGGCCAGGGGAGCAAACGGG
rnacentral:rRNA from 1 species